rnacentral:lncRNA from 1 species
CAACUGGUAAAGUUCUUUUUCCUGGAUGAACCGCAGAGCGCGAAAGAUAAGUAAUUAGAUCUUGUUUUAUUCGUAGCAAUCACGUAGUAAAAGUGUAUAAUGCUUGCAAAUUUUUGUCAGUAAUAUCGAUGAAAGUGACGGGCAAUCGUUAGAACAUAUUAUUUUCCGCGAAUAUUCGCAAUUAACAGUGUUUCAUCGAUCUGAACUGUGCCAUAGGCACAGACGCCAUUGUUUCAGACGCGCGAUAUAUUCUUCGUUAGAUACAGUAUUUAUCUCGCGUUUUGUAUGUCGUAUUCAUGAUUUUUGUGUUUUGUUCAAUAAAGCGCGUAAUUGAAUACGAAUUUUUGGUAUUCAUCGAUGGAGAGCUGGUGCAAUCGAAGGCAGAAUCUGUAAUUUUUGCUGAUGAUAUCGGGGAAAGCAGAUUCAACGAUUCUUCGAAAGAUGUCUCUAGCGAUAUAUUUUCGGCGUCGCAGCUGAAGAAACUUCACGCAAGAUUAACUGUUACUUCGCUUAUCCAGUUCUUCUACAUACUUCAGCUUCAUUCUGCAUCGAUGCAACUCAAGAUCGAUUCAACUGCGGAAUCCACAUUUCGCGCCAAUUUGCAGAAUAAUUACAUGGCGCUGUAAACGCGCGCCGACGGCCCUGGCUCGGCAGCGAGCGUGAACGACUGCGAACGAACAGUUCCGAUCACGGCAGAGGUCUCGUCGUAGCCAUGUGUUGCGGUUCGCCGUGAGUGCUUUGUGGCAAGAAGGGAGGCACGGUGUUCCUCUGUGAGUCUUUUUUCCCGUCUGUCUCGCGCGUGUCUCGCGAAAUUCGCAGCCUCCGCGUGUCCACGCCGAGACGAGGCGUCGCGGCGCAAACCGGUCAUCAGACACCGUUCGUGCGUCGUCCGCCCAUCGUUGUCGGGCGGCACCGAAGACGAAAACCACCCGGGUGUGUCCCGUUCUCGCGUACGGCCGCGCAAGAGGAGAACGACCGACCGAGCGAGCGAACGAACGACGAAACGAAGGAAAUACAUACGUGUGUGCGUGACAGUGCAUUCGUGUGCGUACUUCUCUUUCGCGGCGACGGCGGCAGCUACGGCAAGAAGGAGCACCCGCUCCGUUCGCGCGACUGUUUGGCCGUUCAGCGGCUAUGUUCAGUGUACACUUCGACAUCUUUUUUCGCGUGUGAGUGCGAUACGGCGGAGAGUACAAGGUGGAAGCAGGCGGCAAGCACAGGUUAAUAGUAGUGUCUGUUUAACGAAGAGCAAGGGAGAGAGGAUAUAGAAAGAGCAAGAGAGAGAGGGGGGAGAGAGAGAGCGCAGCCCGGGCGACCGACCCGUCCAUGCGAUCGAGAGAGCGAACGUAAAACGCGAUACAGACAGAGAUAGAAGGAUGGAGAGAAAGAGAUAAGAGUGAUCGCGCGCUGUAGGUGUGCUUGCCGGGCUAGAGACAUGAUACGGGCGUGUUUGUGUGUACGUGUGUGUGCGUGACGUUCGUGAAUUGGCCGGAACGAGCCAACGUCAGGUCGCACUCGAAAGAGUCGCGGAAAAACAUCGCGCGCGAUAGUUUCGUUUCGAAUCGUUGCAUCGCGUCACGUCUUGUCGCUAGUGCUCGUUUUCAUUCGCUGUCCGUCUUUCUGCGCGCAUCAUAUACGUGUUUACCAGGCGUAACGGCGGCGGCAGCGGUGGCGAAGAAGUGUUGUAUACCGCUCGUACAACGUAUACACGUACGGGUGAGAACGGAAGGAGAAGGACAGAGCGAGAGAGAGAGAGAGAGGAGGAGAGCGGCGAGAAGAAAGGUGCUACAGGAACCAUCUACGCGAAAGAGUGAUAGAAGAUUGUCGCGCGUGGAAAUGGCAGGAAAAUCGGAGUUAUAGUGUGUAAAUAUCAACGGUAUUGCAACGGUUGCGAUUGCUUCGCGGUCGCGUUCGAUCGGGGUGUAUCUCGCGCGUUGCGGUGCGAGAACAACGAGUCCGGGACGAGUUCCUUCGCAACGGCGGCGGCGGCGGCGGCAGUGCUUCGGCGAAUCUCAGUGUAUAUGUGUGUACGUGCGUGAGAACAGGGUCGCGAGGUGAAGCUCGCGGCGAGCAGCGACGAACGCAAGCCAGCAGUGGCGGCAGCGGUGACAGACGGUUGGAUUAUAUGCGACAAGAGGAAAUAUACCGGGAUACGUGUCAGCAAGGAUAUAUCGAGAGAAGUAUACGAAGCCUGCGGAAGAGAGAGGCGCUCCGCCGGUCAUCGCUCGAGUGUGUAUGUGUGUACGCCUGCUCUCGCCGACCCACGCGCAUACAAUGGUGAGACAUUGGUGAAGAUAUGAAGCAGUCCUCGGAGAAAAGAGAAUGAGGCUUCGUUACUUAAAGAUCAGAUUCAGGAUGUCAAAGGAUAGUGCACCAUCAUUUCCCCAACCGAAGUCAAGGAAUUUAAAUCGUGAUUUUAAGGUGAGGAUUUAUAAGCGUUUUCGUGGGAUAUACCUCGAUAGCCGGAAUUGAUAGACUGGAAAUGCAGAAUUGAUCGGAAGCACGUCGACUAGCCGAGGCGCGGUUCUAUCGGAAGAACGAAGAGAAGAACCGCACGCUAGGCUGACGCCGCUCGGGAGGAUCAUUUCAGAGGACAUGGCUUAACUCGCGACACGCGGGAGACACAAGAGGAGAGAGAGAGAGAGAGAGAGAGAGAGAGAGAGAGAGAGAGAGAGAGGAGAGAGAGAGAGAGAGAGAGAGA